UUUUAUUUAAGGGAACUUAGCCUCCGUUUGGUUCGGGGUUAAGGAAAAAAUAACUAUUCCAGAAAUAGAGUUAAGUUCAGGGUUAAAGUGGGGUUAAACUUUUUUUGUGUUUGGUUGGGGGUUGGAGUUAGUCUAGAAUAAUGAAAAACAGUGUUUGGUUGGAGUAGGUGGGAUAAGAAGAUAAUGAUUGAUAAAGAAGGAUAAUGAUUGGUUGGAGUAGGUGAGAUAAGAAAGAUAGUGGGUUAUUAUGAAUAAAAAAUAGUGUUUGGUUGGAGUUUGGUGGGAUUAGGUGGGGUUAGCUAAUCCGGGAUAAUUUAUUUGAGGUGGGGUUAGGUGGGGUUAGCUAACCCCACCUAUUUUUUAGGAUGUUUGGGGAUAAUAUAGGGGUUAAGGGAUUAUUCCACCCCUUAACCCCCAACCAAACAAGGGCUUAGGGAAUAAAGGUAGAAUAUUUUUACAAGUAAACUGAGUCUUUUUUACUUUCCCUGUGGGACAUCCGAAUCAAGGAUCAAUAUGUUGAUCGUAUGUUAUAUACGAUUUAGGCUAUUUGUAAUUCUGGAAUCUGCUUUUAAUUUUUAGUAGUAGUCUAGCUUUAUUGGGAGCUCAUAUAUUCCCAAAAGGAUAAAUAAUUUUACAUGUGCGCUGAUAUGUAACCUCCCUGUAAAAGUAUGAAUAUUGUCAUCAGUUAGAGGGACUCGAAAUUGGAUUCUGAAGCUUGAGUUGAUAUAAGAUCUGUUCUUUCGGAAUUCCAUAGAUCUGAUCCUGUACUUUCUAUCUUGGGAUGAUUGAUUGAUGUGAAAUAUUCAAAGUUUCCCGGCUCCAGGUUUAUAAUUUUUGUAAUGAUCUACUCUCUUCUCUUUUUUGUUGGGAGGUAAAGGCCCUUAGGCAUUAUUAAUUAGUUUUGUUAAAAGUUCAUUAAAUUUAAUAUUUUAAUUAUUUCUUACUAGUUAAUUGUUGUUGCUUUAUUUAUUUAAAAAAAUAUAUAUAUAAC
rnacentral:lncRNA from 1 species